GCGACCCACGGCGCCCGCUGGGGUCCCGGGUCCCCAGUUUCCCCGGAGGUCCCCAGCGAUGGUUUUGUGAGGUCCUCAGCUCGUUGGUGGCCACGCCCUCCUCCCUGGGCGCCAGGGUGAUGGCCGAGCGCUGGCAGCGCGGCCGCUGAGCGACUUGAACUUCCGCGGUGAAGAGGCGCGGAGUUUGCUGCCUGCUCAGCCCCAAUGGAGCCUCCCAGUUCUCCCAACGCUGUGUCCUCCCUUCGUUAUCCCCGUUUUACAGAUGAGAUAAGGGAGGACCAGAGGCUGUCAGCCGGGGGCAGUGCAGGUCCAGGCCCCAGCCUCUCUGGCUCCUGGAUCAACCACUUCCUGAAGCUGUGUCACUUGGAUUCCCCCUCCCCCAGCUAUUCCCUAUCCUCACAGCUAGGCCCCGGGUGCUCCCCUGAGCCUGGAGCAUCUCCCGCUCCCGCCAGCUUCAGCAACUUCACCAGACACUCCACAACUUAGUGACAUCCUGUCACAAAAUGAAAAUUUUAAAAAAGAUCUGGGGACGUAGCUCAGUGGCAAAGCACCUUCACUGGGUCCAGUGCCCUUUACUCUGAACCAAGUCUGUGAACCAGGGCCCCAGGGCCAGGUGGGAGGUAAACACCCCUGCUGAGGGGAAGGCCCACUGGGGGAUUCGAAGGCCUCUGGGAUUUGAGAAUGCAGAGUGUCCUGCCUCCUAGAGAAGGACGUGGCAGUGCCAGCUCCUUGUGCAGGGCCUUCAGUUGGCCACUCUGCUGCUUUGGGUGGGUCACAUGGGGCUUCUGGAGCCGCCAGAAAGAGCAGGGGAAGUGGGGGUGGGAGGCUGAGUGCACUGUGGACGGGUCGUGCAGCAUUGUGCAACAGAACUUCUGUGAUGUUGGGGUGGAAGGUUGUCGGGUUCUGCACCUUGUGACUGUUGGACACCAAGACGCCGGCACCCCGGCCUUGAGCACCCUGGGCCAGGGUAACCCCUGAGCCGCACCCAGCCUAGAACCAGAACUUCUCAAUUGCCACGUGUGAAGUCCCCCUCUCUCCUUUCCUCUGCUCAGGCCUACUCUUCUAGGAGGCUCCCUAAGGACACCUCCCGUCCUGGAGGCUCCGGCCUCCCGCAGUCCCAGGGCAGAGGUGGUGCUGAGAAUCAAACCCAGUGCCUCCUGCAGUGCCUCCCGCGUGCUAGGCCGGCCCUCGAGGCCCUUCCUGCGGCCUGUAGACGCCACGUGCUCCCUUCAUGGUUGAAGGGCACCUGGUUCCCUAAGCUCAGCUGCUGUGAGUUGAGCGUCACUGCAGCAGGCUGAGUUGAAGACCUCCGGGUAGGAGCCCAGCAGCAGGAGAGCUGCUCCGGUGGAGGUUCCGCUCCUGGUUCUGAGGAAUCUCCACGCUGCUUUCCACAGUGCUGGCAGUUGGCAGUCCCACCAGCAGUGUAGGAAUGUGACCUUGGGGCUGGGGUGGUGGCCCAGGGGUAGAGCACUUGCCGAGCAUGCGCGAGGCCCUGCGUUGGAAUCUCAGCCCCACGUGAAGAUAAAUAUCGUGUCUGUUUACAACUAAAAAGAUUUCUUUAAAAAAGUGGGCCUUUCCCGCACGUCCUCGCCACCAUUUAACUCACUGUUCCUUGUGUUCUUGAUAACUGCCAUUCUGACUGGGCUGAGAUGGAAUCUCGAGGUGGUUUUAAUCUGCAUUUUUUUAAAUUGCUACAGAUGUUCGGAGGAUCUUUCUUGAGAGGUGGGUGUUCAAACUGCAGGAAGGCAGGCCAAAGGUCGUGUCCCGCCAGGACCCAUCAAGGAGUCACUCUGCAAGACAAAGGGCUCCUGGUGGCGGCUGGGUGGCCACACCUGUCCUCCCAGCGGCUCCGGAGGCUGAGGCUGGAGGAUCACAAGUUCAAAGCCAGCCUCAGCCAUUCAGUGAGACCCUGUUUAUAUAAGAAAGGAGGGACUAUGGCACAGAGGUUAAGUGACCCUGGGUUCCAUCCCCAGUACAAAAAAAAAAGAAAAACAAGACAAAGUCCCUGGUAGAGUCAGAUAAGCUUUAAUAUCUAGAAGUCUGGGCAUGUGAUCCAGUGGGUCCCGGCUCUCCGCCAAGGGAGAGCUGGCAGCUGGAAGACUCGGCGGGCAUGCUGGUGAUGACGAUGGGCACCUUGGCCUUGACGCUGGCCAGAGACCAGGGCAGGUGCACGGUGACCACCAGCUCGUAGCUGGUCCGCACGAUCUGGUCGUCCAGCAGGGUGCUGCUCACGGACAGCACGAGGGGCAGGCUGAAGGUGCUGACCACCGUGGUGCUGCUGAAGGCGGCGAUCUGGGUGUUGGCCUCCUGCCGCAGCAGCUCAUUGCUGUCCCCGCGCCACCGCCGCUCGGCCAUGGGCGUGAAGCCCUCGUACUGCAUGUGGGCGUAGAGGGCGAGGACCACCGUCCGGAUGCACUUGCUGGUCUGGUUGUGGAUCUCUGAGGUGAACACCACCUUCUCCCCCGGCAUGAAGGUGUUCCUGUCCAUCCGAAUCUGCAGGCACACCCUGCCCCGCCGGCAGCAGUUGUAGGACACCUUCUUCUCGGCCUGCACAAACAGGGGGUCCUGCAGGGGGAGGGGAACGAGAGUGAGGGGCUGUGGCUGGGAGACCCACCGCCUGACCCACAUCCAUCCCAAGAGCUCCUCGGUACUUCCGGGCUUUUGCACCCCCAAGCCUGCAGUCCUCUCUCAGCUUCCUGUGGUCGAGGCUCCUGACUAGUCUGAAUAUCAAUGGCCUUAUCUGCAAAACAGUCUGAAGAAAUUCACAGAAUCCCCCUCCCAUUAUUCUCUGGCUGUGUGACCUUGGAUAAGUGGCUUGACUUCUCUGAGCAUUGUUUUUUUUUUUUUCUGGAAGACAGAGUAAUAUCUUACAGUCUAAGAGCAAGACCCUGGGCUUAGGCAAAUAUUUCAAUGAUAUGCAUUCACUAGGAACUCCAUUUUGAAUUUUAAAUACGGAUCCCGCUCCCCACCCAAGCAAACAUAUUUUCUUGUGAGUGAGCUGCAGCUCCCAGGUGAACCCCACAGUUGUGAAGGGGAGCAGCCAACGUUGUACAGCGUGCCGUGUUGCUAACACGAGGUGCCUGGGUCAGCUACAUCAUAUGCAUUUUACAGUUAAGGAUCUUUUCACCUUAUGACCGGUUUAUGGGGACAGGACCCUAUCGCAAAUGGAAGAACCAAGAACCGUCCAUCUUGUUCAUUUCCACGACAGCAACUGAGAACCCUGCAAAAUGACCUGUCCCUCCAUCCCCAACCCCCCUGCAUCCCACAGGAGGGUUGUGUGGACCCCUGCGGGCACUCGCUGGCUCUGCGGCAGGGGCUGCUAGGAACCUCGCGGGCGCAGCACAAGGCACGCACACGCACACUGGGUUUCACUGUUCAUCUUUUCCUUUUCUUAGCUGGGAUGGACCUGGGUCCUCACUGUCCUGGGCCAGCACUCCACCAAGGUGAGCACCUGCUGUCUGUGACAGGUCCAAGGGCCUCCCGGGAAAAGCCUGGGACCAGACCUGGCUCCAGUCUGGGAGUGGGGGGAUAUUUGUGUUGAAUUUACUUAUUGAGUGUCUCUGAUCUGAAAAUCUGAAAUGCUCCAAACAUCCAAGACUUUUCGAGCACAGACACGGCCUUCUGUUCCGGUGAUUCCAAUUCCAUUCAUUUGCAAAAUGUUGGUGGCAAUUCUCUGAACUCAUUUUUCUGUUAUUUUCUAUUCUACUUAUUCAAUGCUAUCAUUCAUUUUCUUUUCUUUUUUUUUUUUUGGUACCAGGGAUUGAACUCAGGGGUGCUUGACCACUGAGCCACACCCCAGACCUUUUUAUUUUUUAUUUUGAGACAGGGUUCUCCCUAAGUUGCUGAGGCUGGCUCUGAACUCAAGAUCCUCCUGUCUCAAUCGAACACAGUGCCUCACACAUGAAGGAUGUGCUCGUGGCCCAUGCAGGAGGCUUGGAUGAAGUAGGAGAUGUGGCCGGUUUUGCUGGAGAAGGUGGAGGGGAGCCUGGGAGCCUGCUUGUCACGGCCGGUCGCCACAGCAGACACAAAGGCCUGAAGUUCCCAGAGACCUAUCUGCUGCAUCAGAUGCAGGGGCCCUGCUCUGGAGCUUGGCACAGAUGGACGUCUGUUCAGCACGGGCUUCAGAUGACCUCUCUGCUGUAAUCACGGGAGGCCCCGAUCUCCUCGUUCCACUCGACGUAGCCCCUCCCCACGAGCUCCACCUUCACCACGGGGUCCACCAGGGUGCUGUUCAGGGUGGAAGGAGAGGCCCAGAGAGGCCUGAAGGCAUCUGCCGUCCUACCAGGUGUCCCCAGGUUCGGUGCCACAUUUGAUCAUUUUCCUGUUGAAGGCUCUUCAUUAUCUGGUCUGUACUGGAAAAAAAGUUAUAGAUGGGACAGGACACGGCAUCUGAUGGGUACUGCAGACGCUCAGGUCCCCUGGACUCACCCUGGACACCCAGACCACCUGGAACCCGUCCUCUCACAUGACUGACAUUUCUCCUUAAACCUGCUCUCCCCACUGGGUAAGUCCCUUCAGAGGGAGGCUGUGUCAGGGAGGUUCGUGCCCACCAACGUGUGCCCGACCCAGAUCAGCAAGGCUAAUGGUAGUGUCAAUAAAAGUUUGUUGAGUGACCCAA